ACGACCUUACUUGAACAGGAUCUGUUCUGUAGGACGUACCUCUGUAUCCUUGAUUUCUAAGGAGACAGGAAACCAAGUCUGGUGGAUGAAACAUGACUUGCUAGAUCAGAGCGUGAUUAAUAGCUCGGCCACAAUCAAUUGGUAGUGGUCGAUUGCAAUGGAGGAUCGUUCUCAGUUGGCUUUGCUCUACUGGGGUGGUCUAGCAGUGACCUGACAGACU
rnacentral:snoRNA from 1 species